rnacentral:misc_RNA from 1 species
GCGGUGACAGCUUUCACAAAAGACUUCCUGCCCUCUGCUGCGGGGCGCUUGCUUCCCACACCGUCUUUGGCGACGGUGCAACGACGCUGUCGCUGCGCCAGCUCACCAUAAUACACACACACACACACAUCUAUCGCGUAGCAAGCCUUGGGCAACCCGGCGAACGGCGAGACGCUAGACGGCGCAUCACGCACCCACCAGCACACUCAUAGUCUGCGAGUCGUCGAAUUCGGCCGCUCCUCCUCCCCCGACUCUGCAUGCGUUCCCAGCGGCUGCCGCAACGCACACGCAAAUAAAAAAAAUGGAAUCACCGUCGUGCGCAUCCGCGCCGAUCGCAGUCGAUGCCCAAGACGUUGUGGUGCUGCCUGCGGUGGCGCAGGCGCGGACGUGGCUCUCUCUGUACGGCACUUGCUGCACAGAAGAAGAGGUGGAGAUGCAUCCGGUGGUGCUCUCUCGUGUCCUGCAGGCGGUGGAGCCGGUGCAAAGCCGCCCUCGGCUUUCAUCAGGGAGCGACUGCGCCCUCGCCACCACGACUACGAAACAUGCGUGCCGUAGCGGCGAGGGGGAUGCCGAGGCGGCGACCGCGAGGCCAUCGCUGACGGCGCCGCAUGAAGACGAUGGCAGUAAGAGGAGCAAAGGCGAGGCUGGACUGUCAAUCGAUUUUGGUGGUCUCUGGAUGCCCUUGUCGGAGUGGAUCGCGACCCUGCGAAGUUUGGUGGCUGCCGUGCCGCUGCACAGUCUAUCGCUGCGCGACACCGCUCUUGGCGACGCUGGGCUGCGCUGCCUUUGCGGACAAGUGUCCGCCGCUUCCGUAAAGCCAGCAGCCCUAGAGGCAGCUAGCAGAUGCGAAGGCGGUGGCUCUCAUCUACCGGGGUUGUCGACACUGGCCGUCCCGCCGUCGUACCCGCCCACCAUUCCUGGAUUGUGGGCAGCGAGCACGCUGCGGCUACUAGACCUCAGCGGCGCGGCGCUCACGGACGGCGGGCCUCUGGCGUCGCUGCUCGCAUCAUGCCCACAGCUGCACUCCCUCAACUUAUCGGACAACCGUUUGGGCUCACGUGACGCUGGACUUGCGCUGCUCUGCGCCGCGCUGCAGUUGCAUCCUUCGCUGGAGGUGCUGAACUUGCGUCGCAACUGCAUCAGCGGCAGCCGCAACGGGCCAGCGAUAGCCGCUCUUGCCGAGCUCAUUGUCGCACGGUCUGUAGAUGCACCGCGCGCUCUCUCGAGGGCGUGCGGUCGCGCAUCGGCGCUCUGUAGACAACAAACAUCAGAAGCCGCGACCGUGGCUGCACAGCCGCUGCGGCGACUCGACCUCUCCCACAACCUACUGGGCACCUACUUUCUUUUCUCAGACGCGAUGAUGACUCACCGCACGGAGGCGGGACGUUCGAAUGCGGCUCCAGAGUACGAUAUGGCAUCUUCGGCUUUCCGCCACGUCGGCUUCCACGAGGCUGUAGCGUCGUUCCCUCUUGUCACGGCACUUUACCUGAACAACACGCUGAUAGAGCUGAACUUGCGCAACAACGGCUUGCCGAUUGCCUUGCUGGAGUACGUGGAGGCGAAGCUGCACGUCAACCAGCGCACCACAGGCGGCGGCGUCGACUUCUCGCACACCGCGUCCGCUGAGAUCGUCGCAUCGAGCACUGUGCGACAGGUGCUCAUUCACCGGCUGCGCUGCACUCUUGAACACAUCCUUGCUGGGACGGCGAACGCAUCGGGGGUGGUGGGGGCCACACAUACUGAACCAGGGGACACUCCGCCAACCGAGGUCCCCGCAGCAAGCCAGUCCUCUGUACUUCCUGCAGCGGAGCGCCGAUGGACCACCGGCGAGGUGUCGGAGCUCGUGCAGCGCCUUGUCCGCAAUGUCGCAACUGACCUCUCCUUGUUCUGAACACGGUUCACCCUUCGAUGCCUACGAAGUGUGGGACAGCGAGGGGGCUCGCCCCUCGCACACACUCCAGUGCACACACCUGCACACGGAUAGAUAGAUGAAUAGCAAGGGCAUUCACGCAUGUCCGCCACCACCCUGCUUUCCGCUGCAGCGUAUCCCGUGUGCGCAGUCGAAGGAGGCGGACGACCGAGAAGUGACUGCAUCCUUCGCGCGCAUUGCUGCCUGCCCACGGAAGCU